rnacentral:rRNA from 1 species
UACGUGAGGGUGCAAGCGUUGUCCGGAAUUAUUGGGCGUAAAGGAGCUCGUAGGCGGUCUGUUACGUCGGGCUGUGAAAACCUGGGGCUCAACCCCGGGCCUGCAACCGAUACGGGCAGACUAGAGUUCGGCAGGGGGAGACUGGAAUUCCUGGUGUAGCGGUGGAAUGCGCAGAUAUCAGGAAGAACACCCGUGGCGAAAGCGACUCUCUGGAACGGUACUGACGCUGAGACGCGAAAGCGUGGGGAGCAAACAGG